UAGGGAAUCUUCGGCAAUGGGGGGAACCCUGACCGAGCAACGCCGCGUGAGUGAAGAAGGUUUUCGGAUCGUAAAGCUCUGUUGUUAAGGAAGAACGAGUGUGAGAAUGGAAAGUUCAUGCUGUGACGAUACUUAACCAGAAAGGGACGGCUAACUACGUGCCAGCAGCCGCGGUAAUACGUAGGUCCCGAGCGUUGUCCGGAUUUAUUGGGCGUAAAGCGAGCGCAGGCGGUUAGAUAAGUCUGAAGUUAAAGGCAGUGGCUCAACCAUUGUAGGCUUUGGAAACUGUUUAACUUGAGUGCAGAAGGGGAGAGUGGAAUUCCAUGUGUAGCGGUGAAAUGCGUAGAUAUAUGGAGGAACACCGGUGGCGAAAGCGGCUCUCUGGUCUGUAACUGACGCUGAGGCUCGAAAGCGUGGGGAGCGAACAGG
rnacentral:rRNA from 1 species